UGCCAGCCGCCGCGGUAAUACGGAGGGUGCAAGCGUUAAUCGGAAUUACUGGGCGUAAAGCGCACGCAGGCGGUUUGUUAAGUCAGAUGUGAAAGCCCCGGGCUCAACCUGGGAACUGCAUUUGAUACUGGCAAACUAGAGUAUGAGAGAGAGAAGUGGAAUUCCACAUGUAGCGGUGAAAUGCGUAGAGAUGUGGAGGAACAUCAGUGGCGAAGGCGACUUCUUGGCUCAAUACUGACGCUCAGGUGCGAAAGCGUGGGGAGCAAACAGGAUUAGAUA
rnacentral:rRNA from 1 species